UCUCUCAAAUAAAUAAAUAAAAUCUUUUUAAAAAUUCACCACUUUAAACCAUUGUGGAAACAACUCAAAUGUCCCUCAACAGAUGCAUGGCUACAAAGAAUGUGGUCCAUCCCCAUGAUGGAAUAUGAUUCAGGCGCAAAGAGGAAGAAGCAGGACACACACAGCCACGUGGUGGGCGAACCUUGAAGACAGGAUGCCGAGUGAGAGGAGCCAGACACAGAAGGCCACACGGCGUGUGACUCCGUGUCCACGAAAUGUCUGGAACAGUGUAGGUGGGACUGCAUCUUCAAUGUGUGUGGACAUUAGAUGGUGUCAUCAGAGCGCGAGGCAGCACUUGACUUCAAAGAACCAAGUGUUCUUCAGGGAAUUCCCAACUGAGCAUCCCCACCAGGCUGACAGUUUUAUUUGACGGUGCUGACGCUCUUGUGCUCCAAUGCCAAGGUCCCUCUAGCUCUGCGCGAGGAACUCAGGGUCUCCACCGUAAGAGAAAUUCGGCUAGAACAACAUGAUCCAGCCCAACAUUCGCAAAACUAUCCGGCCUUUGCAAGCGCCCCAGAAGAGACUGCCUCAGAGCCAGCACCAAUGGAAGAGUGACAGAGGCCCAGCAACAGGGCGGGAUUGGCGGGCAGGAGUGAGCACGUGAUGGGCUGAGCUCACAAAGGGCCUGGGUGUCGGGCUGCUGUGGGGGUGGGGGGGGGCUGGUGGAGUGGUUCCUGUUUGUCGGCCUGCCUUUCUUCCUUCCCUAAAGAAUUUGGUUCCCCUGAAGGUCACAGCCAUGUAUGGGACUUAACUCAGCAUCAUGAGAAAGUCCAAGAGCCAAUGAUCUGCAAACAUUCCCCCCCCCGCCCCCGCCAAGAGAAAGAGUGAAAUCAAGAGCUGGCUGGGAAACGUUUGCCUUGCUUUGUCAUUGGUUAUAUAACCAUAAAAGGUAGUCAAAGGUAUCUGCAGCUUAGGGGGCAAAGAAAGCCCAAAGGACUCUUCUUUUUCCUGUUUACACGCGUGCAUUUGCGUUGUGUAGCAGGGCCCAGGCUGCUCCAGUGUAAAAAUAACCAGAUAACCGGUUUCAUCCCCCACCAGGCAGCAAAUCAGACUUCAGUUCCAGUCC